rnacentral:rRNA from 1 species
GAUGAACGCUGGCGGCGUGCCUAAUACAUGCCAGUCGAGCGAACGGACGAGAAGCUUGCUUUUCUGAUGUUAGCGGCGGACGGGUGAGUAACACGUGGAUAACCUACCUAUAAGACUGGGAUAACUUCGGGAAACCGGAGCUAAUACCGGAUAAUAUUUUGAACCGCAUGGUUCAAAAGUGAAAGACGGUCUUGCUGUCACUUAUAGAUGGAUCCGCGCUGCAUUAGCUAGUUGGUAAGGUAACGGCUUACCAAGGCAACGAUGCAUAGCCGACCUGAGAGGGUGAUCGGCCACACUGGAACUGAGACACGGUCCAGACUCCUACGGGAGGCAGCAGUAGGGAAUCUUCCGCAAUGGGCGAAAGCCUGACGGAGCAACGCCGCGUGAGUGAUGAAGGUCUUCGGAUCGUAAAACUCUGUUAUUAGGGAAGAACAUAUGUGUAGGUAACUGUGCACAUCUUGACGGUACCUAAUCAGAAAGCCACGGCUAACUACGUG